AUUGAACGCUGGCGGAAUGCUUUACACAUGCAAGUCGAACGGCAGCACGGACUUCGGUCUGGUGGCGAGUGGCGAACGGGUGAGUAAUACAUCGGAACGUGCCCAAUCGUGGGGGAUAACGUAGCGAAAGCUACGCUAAUACCGCAUACGAUAUAAGGAUGAAAGCGGGGGAUCGCAAGACCUCGCGCGAUUGGAGCGGCCGAUGGCAGAUUAGGUAGUUGGUAGGGUAAAGGCCUACCAAGCCGACGAUCUGUAGCUGGUCUGAGAGGAUGAUCAGCCACACUGGGACUGAGACACGGCCCAGACUCCUACGGGAGGCAGCAGUGGGGAAUUUUGGACUAUGGACGCAAGUCUGAUCCAGCCAUUCCGCGUGCAGGAUGAAGGCCCUCGGGUUGUAAACUGCUUUUGUACAGAACGAAAAGGCUCUGGUUAAUACCUAGGGCUCAUGACGGUACUGUAAGAAUAAGCACCGGCUAACUACGUGCCAGCCGCCGCGGUAA
rnacentral:rRNA from 1 species